UGCCAAAAAGGCAUGAAGCUUUAGGCAAUCCGUCCAUAGAGAAAAUAAAGAGAAAAAGGAAAGAAAACAACAUGAAAAGCAAGUUACCUUGGGCAAUCUGCCCAUGUGAGAACAAAAUGGAGAAACUAAAGGCAUUUUCAAGUCUUUUUCCUUGAGGAGUCUGCCCAUAACAAAAAGAGAAAGAAAGGGGGAAAGAAAGAAAGGAAGAAAGGAUGAAGAAGAAAAAAAAAGGGAAAGAUCGAUUUGGUGAACCCGAGACCAGUAAGGAUUCAAGGGACUCGAAGCAUACAUGUAGGUAGAUCUUGGAAUGCAUGGUGAUUUUGGAGCUAAACAAGCAAUGGGAAGUGCAUGAGUAAAGAAAGUGUGCUGUGGUGGCAUGCCGGAGGAGGUAACGGGUAAUCGACGAGUGGAAUUAGCUAGAUACGCACCCGAAUCAAUGGCGAUGUAGCGUCCCGCUAUUGUGAGGAGAGUAGGGGGUGCCGAUUUUAAAAUCUCCGUGUUAUAUAUAUAUAUUGAUUUACGUUAGUAAGCAUUGAUGGUUUUCUUAAGUGUAAUUAUGGAUAUCAUGAGCUGUUAGCCUUGGUAGGCAAUUU